GCCGUACUAGAGAAAUGGCUAACUCGUCGGCCUUCUAUGCAAAUCUUGUAAUAGAGCCGAAAAUUCCUGGUUCGAGUCCAGGGUACGGUG